AUCGGCAGCUGUCUGAACCGGAUCUGCCCCGCUGUCCCCCCUGUGAAGGUGAUGAAGAAGCUGAGUCUGAAGCCUCCGGAGAGGGUGGCGUCCCUCCAGGCCGUCUGGGACGAACCGGGCUCGGCAGAUCAGGGACCCUGCGGCGGGUUUUCUCAUCAGUACUGGUGUGUGUGUGAUUACCUGGGCCUGCCGUACAGAGAGGAGGUCCAAUGGGAUGUCGACACCAUCUAUCUC